rnacentral:tRNA from 1 species
GAAAAAGUACGCAAGAACUGCUAAUUCUAUGCUCCCAUGACUAACAUCAUGGCUCUUUCA